rnacentral:rRNA from 1 species
GCAGAUAUCAGGAGGAACACCGGUGGCGAAGGCGGAUCUCUGGGCCAUUACUGACGCUGAGGAGCGAAAGCGUGGGGAGCGAACAGGAUUAGAUACCCUGGUAGUCCACGCCGUAAACGGUGGGAACUAGGUGUUGGCGACAUUCCACGUCGUCGGUGCCGCAGCUAAC